rnacentral:tRNA from 1 species
GCCUGGCUGGCUCAGUCGGUAGAGUGUGGGACUCUUGAUCUCAGGCUUGUGAGUCUGAGCCCCACGCUGGAUA